rnacentral:lncRNA from 1 species
CCUUAUAAAAGCAAACCAACUAAAAAAACAAAAAUUAAAAUGGACUUAAAAAUACAUAUAGAUUGAAGAUAUCUUCAGUAAAAAAUGAAUCAACUUAUAAUUGACCUAUAAAUCAUCAAUAUACAUAAUGAGUUAUGAGUCUAACACUGUGGGUAUAUAAGAGUAAGACGGCAGACAAAACAUGUAGCACUUGUCCUAUAUAUCUUCAAAGGUUGAAUUCUCCGACAACGUAUUUUCAAACUCUUCUGGGGAAGAAUCGAUGUGCCAGAGAGAAAAUGACACUAACCGUACUUCUUCGAAGUGUUGAGAUCCGAUCACAUUUUAUUCUUCUUCUUCUUUUCCUAAUAAACAUUGCGUUAUCUUCUGUUCUAUAUCUUGCACAGACAGUGUCGAAAAUACCUGAAAUGAAAUUUAAUGUUCAAAAACACUAGAAUGUUAAAAUAGAAGAAUAGUAUGUAUUUUUGACUUGCGGUAUCAGCAAGGUAUUAAAAUAUAUAUACAAAAUGGUAUAGCAGAAAUAAUACACUUUGAAGCCAUCUUCUCACUUGUAACUGAAAAUAAAAUUUUGUUGGGUGUAUGUUAUUCUUUAUAAACCUCCCACAUAAAAAAAAAAAUAAUAAUAAUUCAAGUUGUGAUAUUUGAGGGGCUCAGGUUCCUGACUUUCGGAUCACAUCUUAAUCUAGUGGUAGAAAUCCAUCAACUUAAUUAUUUGAAGGUACACCAACCCUUAAUUUAUCAAAAAUACAAGAAAAUAACUAAGAACAGAGCAGCUCGCGUAUUAAAUUAAAUUGCGCAAACAUAGGUCAGUGGACCUACACACAUAUGACCUGACUACUAACUAAAGGAAAUUAAACAAAUAAAGUUUCGGCAACUUACUGAAGCAAAGCAACUUUAGGUGGGAAGAAGAGGUUGUCUUUCAUCAGGUCCCACACGAUGAC